GACGAACGCUGGCGGCGUGCUUAACACAUGCAAGUCGAACGGAAAGGCCCUGCUUUUGUGGGGUGCUCGAGUGGCGAACGGGUGAGUAACACGUGAGUAACCUGCCCUUGACUUUGUGAUAACUUCAGGAAACUGGGGCUAAUACCGGAUAGGAGCUCCUGCUGCAUGGUGGGGGUUGGAAAGUUUCGGCGGUUGGGGAUGGACUCGCGGCUUAUCAGCUUGUUGGUGGGGUAGUGGCUUUCCAAGGCUUUGACGGGUAGCCGGCCUGAGAGGGUGACCGGCCACAUGGGGACUGAGAGACGGCCCAGACUCGUACGGGAGGCAGCAGUGGGGAAUAUUGCAGAAUGGGCGGAAGCCUGAUGCAGCAACGCCGCGUGCGGGAUGACGGCCUUCGGGUUGUAAACCGCUUUCGCCUGUGACGAAGCGUGAGUGACGGUAAUGGGUAAAGAAGCACCGGCUAACUACGUG
rnacentral:rRNA from 1 species